rnacentral:rRNA from 1 species
UGGUGCGAUCCUACAAGCACUAAUGCACUAAAUCCCAAUAGAACUAUGUAGUUGAGCGUGCUUAGGCAAGCGUAGCACUAGGAUGGGUGACCUCAUGGGAAGUCCUCGUGUUGCACCCC